GGACCGUAUACAAGUCUCCUGGGAUGGAGCAUCAUAGAGGGUGAGAAUCCCGUCUUUGAUACGGACUACCAGUGCAUUGUGGUAUGCUCUCAACGAGUCGAGUUGUUUGGGAAUGCAGCUCAAAAUGGGUGGUAAAUUCCAUCUAAAGCUAAAUAUUGGCGAGAGACCGAUAGCGAACAAGUACCGUGAGGGAAAGAUGAAAAGAACUUUGGAAAGAGAGUUAAACAGUACGUGAAAUUGCUGAAAGGGAAACGCUUGAAGUCAGUCACGUCUGCUGGGAAUCAGCCUCGCUCCUGCGUGGUGUACUUUCUGGUAGACGGGUCAGCAUCAGUUUUGACCAUUGGAAAAAGGUGUGGGGAAUGUGACAGCUCCGGCUGUGUUAUAGCCUCAUAUUGUAUACAGUGGUUGGGACUGAGGAACGCAGCACGCCGCAAGGCCGGGUCUUUGGACAACGUUCGUGCUUAGGAUGCUGGCAUAAUGGCUUUAAGCGACCCGUGUUGAAACACGGACCAAGGAGUCUAACAUGCCUGCGAGUGUUUGGGUGGAAAACUCGAGCGCGCAAUGAAAGUGAAAGUUGAGAUCCCUGUCGUGGGGAGCAUCGACGCCCGGACCAGAACUUUUGGGACGGAUCCGCGGUAGAGCAUGUAUGUUGGGACCCGAAAGAUGGUGAACUAUGCCUGAAUAGGGUGAAGCCAGAGGAAACUCUGGUGGAGGCUCGUAGCGGUUCUGACGUGCAAAUCGAUCGU
rnacentral:rRNA from 1 species